rnacentral:rRNA from 1 species
CCUACGGGAGGCAGCAGUGAGGAAUAUUGGUCAAUGGGCGCGAGCCUGAACCAGCCACGUAGCGUGAAGGAUGACUGCCCUACGGGUUGUAAACUUCUUUUAUAAAGGAAUAAAGUGCGGCACGUGUGCCUUUUUGCAUGUACUUUUUGAAUAAGGAUCGGCUAACUCCGUGCCAGCAGCCGCGGUAAUACGGAGGAUCCGAGCGUUAUCCGGAUUUAUUGGGUUUAAAGGGUGCGUAGAUGGGUUGUUAAGUCAGUUGUGAAAGUUUGCGGCUCAACCGUGAAAUUGCAUUUGAUACUGGCAGUCUUGAGUACAGUAGAGGUAGGCGGAAUUCGUGGUGUAGCGGUGAAAUGCUUAGAUAUUACGAAGAACUCCGAUUGCGAAGGCAGCUUACUAAACUGCAACUGACAUUGAUGCUCGAAAGUGUGGGUAUCAAACAGGAUUAGAUACCCUAGUAGUC